rnacentral:lncRNA from 1 species
CGACGUUCCUUUUCGCACCACGCUGUCGACUGAAAGACACAGUCAGUGGUAUCUAUGCAUCUAAAAUGUUAAUGCUGCAGAUGAAACAUGCGGGAUAUGACAGUCAAGCAAGUCCUUCAAGCAGUUCUUUUGUGUCUUGCAACACAAAUUAUCGUAGAGUAGUGACAGUAGAGACCUACCGUUAAAGCAUAAUGUGCGUCAAGUAACCAAGAUCGACUGGAAUCAUCGAUACAGGUAGUCAAAGACGUAUCGAAUUCGUUAACAGCCGUUGCCGAAACGGAAGAGCGUCUUGUAGUCAGCUUAAACUUUAUUAGAUGUUAAGAACCUAUCCGAACUAGUAUAAAAAUAUGUAGAAGCUAUUGAAAUAUUCUAGAAAUUUUUCAUGAAAUCUAAGCGACUGAAUUCGGGUCAAUGAUUUGAAACGGUUGGAGCGAAACGGUUAUUUUUGUAUUUGUAUAAUAAUAAGCGUUUUUAAAACUAUUAGUAAUUGUCACAUGAAAUGUAAAAGACAUUAAUAUCUCAUUUUAAUCUUCGUCUUGAUGCUGUCGAGUGAUAUCGUAUUGAAUAACUCUUGAUUAUCUUCAAUAUUUCGUUCCCUCUUGUCUGUUGCUAUAUUGUCUGAUAUUCGAAAAUGCCCUUAUCAGCAAAUCUGUUGCAAUUUUAGCAGCAGGCGGUAAACAAAUUUUGUCAGAUUCAGAGAUGAAAAAAAAAAGUUAUUUUGGAGACCUACUUUAUUCCGCAUUUUCGAAGAAGGGCAGCCGGAAAUACUUCGUAAACUUGACGGGAAAGUUAAUUGCAAUCGUGUUCAUAGCCAAGUACCCUACACCUAUGGGAUUUACUUGAAAAUUGAAAGCUCAAGUGUUCCAUGAACGGAGUGAUUGUCACAAAGAUCGUUUCUUACUGCUUCUAAACGUCUCUUCCUCCAGCGAGUUACGCGCAGCUAUGAUGAUAGGCUUCCAUAAAAAUUAUUACCGGUGAUCAGAGACGGUGUCUUUACGUCAACAUAAAGUGGAGAAGAAAAGUUAGAUUUAAAGAGAUAACGCCUAAACCCAAAGUCGAUCCAGGUCUCAAUAUCUAGAAAAUAAUAAUCUGCGUUUGUUGGUAUUGGAUUGGUGUAAUAUACGGGGAUUUACUUGAAACAACAAUAUGGUCAAUGAAGAGCUGCAUGUGUGUCAAUUGUAUCGAGUGGAUUAAACUAUUUAACAGAUGAUCUGAUAGACAAGGCAGUCAUCAAUCCACACGAUGAUGCCAAGCCGCAUAUAGCGAAAAUUGUUAAAACUGCUCUGUUAGUGGGAGGUUUCUCUGCAUUCACUUCCGCUCCGAUGGAUUAUCGUUUCUUCUGCUCAAUGCCAAAUGAAAUAUCGUAACCAUGAAUUAAAUGUAAAUGGGUGUCAAAACCCGGGUGGAUGGGUUUAACGUCAGACUUGAACAUUUCUGACUAAAAGAAAUAUACUUUUUAGUUAAAAGUUGGGAUAGAGGGUGGAGAGUGACGGUGCAUACAAAGAAACUUAUUUCUUUGAAGAAUUAAACUAACAUUGCGUUUUUCGUAAGACAAUGAGGAAAAACACCUAACAUAUAAAAUUUGUUGAACAUGAGAAAAGUAAUCUGAAGAAAGAGAUUCCCUGCUUAUCAAUAUUGCCAUUGUCAUGUGCUUUUUCAUUCGCUUUUAGCUAGACGGAUAUUCGUGUUCGUUACAUAUUUCAGUUAGAAUAUAGGAUGGAACGCUACCGCAAUAUUUCGAUUUCGAUAGUGAUUGAAAAUUGAAACCUCUUAUAAAAUAGCCAGGUAUAGUGGGGCCAAUAGGAUUUAAUAACGUUUGACAACUCACCGUAUUAUAUUGUCAUAAAUAUCAUUCAAGAAAUAAAAUGCUGUUACUAUUUGGCUUAUGUAUCAGGCAAACGGAUAAAUAAACUCGAAGACAAUAGCCUAUUCAGUGAUUUGUAUAAACUUGUCAGGGUCUACCAGGAAAAAGUUGUUUCAUUCUGACACCGUUGUGUAGUUUAUAAACGAUAAAAAAAACACUGGAUUUAAUUUUAACAUUGGACAAUGAUAG